rnacentral:rRNA from 1 species
UGGUCUUGACAUCCCGAGAAUAUCCGUGAAAGCGGAAGGUGCUUCCAUUAGGAAGAGCUUGGAGACAGGUGCUGCAUGGCUGUCGUCAGCUCGUGUCGUGAGAUGUUGGGUUAAGUCCCGCAACGAGCGCAACCCUUGCCUUUAGUUGCCAUCAUUAAGUUGGGCACUCUAGAGGGACUGCCGGUGUCAAACCGGAGGAAGGUGGGGAUGACGUCAAGUCCUCAUGGCCUUUAUGACCAGGGCUACACACGUACUACAAUGGGCGGUACAAAGGGCAGCGACACAGCGAUGUGAAGCGAAUCCCAUAAAGCCGUUCUCAGUCCGGAUUGGAGUCUGCAACUCGACUCCAUGAAGUUGGAAUCGCUAGUAAUCGUGGAUCAGCAUGCCACGGUGAAUACGUUCCCGGGCCU